AUGUCUUGGGAAAAGCAGUGGAGAAGACUUCACUCUUUACUCACUUACUUUACCUCUCUUUCCAGCAACCUGACCCUGAUGUCCUCAGUAGUUUACAAUCUCAAUGACAUCUUCACAGCUCUGAAAACAUUUACUUAUUUUCAAGCAAAGCCAAGAACCAC
rnacentral:lncRNA from 1 species